UGGCGGACGGGUGAGUAAUGUCUGGGAAACUGCCCGAUGGAGGGGGAUAACUACUGGAAACGGUAGCUAAUACCGCAUAACGUCGCAAGACCAAAGAGGGGGACCUUCGGGCCUCUCGCCAUCGGAUGUGCCCAGAUGGGAUUAGCUAGUAGGUGGGGUAACGGCUCACCUAGGCGACGAUCCCUAGCUGGUCUGAGAGGAUGACCAGCCACACUGGAACUGAGACACGGUCCAG
rnacentral:rRNA from 1 species